GCGAGCGAGCCUGCGCUGCCGAGCUGUCUAUUGAUCCAACUGAGCUCGCUGCUCUCGGCUCUCUCAGUACUCCAUGCACUGGUGUGGUGUAGUGCCGCGCCGCGUGCCCGACAGAGCCAUCUCCCCUGUACUCCCUUUGGCUCUCGAGUGCCACCGUGACGCGUGUGUUGGGAACGGAGCUGAAGGCCGUGUUAUGUGUGUUGUGUAAAUCCAACACUAGUGAAGUGAAAAAAAAAUAAAAGAUAAAUAAACCAACAGGAUACAUAAGAUAAAGAAGAGAGAAAGAGAAAAAAAGGAAAGAAA